GACGAACGCUGGCGGCGUGCUUAACACAUGCAAGUCGAGCGGUAAGGCCCUUUCGGGGGUACACGAGCGGCGAACGGGUGAGUAACACGUGGGUGACCUGCCCUCAGCUCUGGGAUAAGCCUGGGAAACCGGGUCUAAUACUGGAUAUGACUCCAUGACGCAUGUUGUGGGGUGGAAAGCCUUGUGCGGCUGAGGAUGGGCCCGCGGCCUAUCAGCUUGUUGGUGGGGUGAUGGCCUACCAAGGCGACGACGGGUAGCCGGCCUGAGAGGGCGACGGCCACACUGGGACUGAGACACGGCCCAGACUCCUACGGGAGGCAGCAGUGGGGAAUCUUGCGCAAUGGGCGAAAGCCUGACGCAGCGACGCCGCGUGAGGGACGACGGCCUCGGUG
rnacentral:rRNA from 1 species